rnacentral:rRNA from 1 species
CCUAUAGUAGAGGAUAGCCCGGCGAAAGUCGGAUUAAUACUCUAUGUUUUCCGUUGCAGACAUCUAAGAUGGAACAAAGGCUUGCCGCUAUAGGAUGGGGAUGCGUACUGAUUAGGUAGUCGGCGGGUAACGGCCCACCGAGCCAUCGAUCGAGUAGGGUUCUGAGAGGAAGGUCCCCCACAUUGGAACUGAGACACGGUCCAAACUCCUACGGGAGGCAGCAGUGAGGAAUAUUGGUCAAUGGGCGAGAGCCUGAACCAGCCAAGUAGACCGUGCAGGACGACGGCCCUAUGGGUUGUAAACUGCUUUUAUGCGGGGAUAAAGUUCACUACGUGUAGUGUUUUGUAGGUACCGCAUGAAUAAGGACCGGCUAAUUCCGUGCCAGCCGCCGC